rnacentral:rRNA from 1 species
GUGUCAGCCGCCGCGGUAAUACGUAGGGGCCGAGCGUUGUCCGGAGUUACUGGGCGUAAAGCGCGCGCAGGCGGCGGUCCGCGCCCGGCGUGAAAGCCCCCGGCUCAACCGGGGAGGGUCGUCGGGGACGGGAUCGCUUGAGGACGGCAGGGGCAGGUGGAAUUCCCGGUGUAGUGGUGAAAUGCGUAGAGAUCGGGAGGAACACCCGUGGCGAAGGCGGCCUGCUGGGCCGAUCCUGACGCUGAGGCGCGAAGGCGUGGGGAGCGAACGGGAUUAGAAACCCCAGUAGUCC